CCGACACUCAAACGCGCGCUCCACCCGGAAGCCUCCUCCUGCCUCACGGCCAGAAGAUGGCGGCUCUCAAACUCCUCUCCUCCGGCCUUCGGCUCUGCGCCUCUGCCCGCGGAUCUAGGGGAGCCUGGUACAAGGGAUGUGUUUGUUCCUUUUCCACCAGUGCUCAUCGCCAUACCAAGUUUUAUACAGAUCCAGUAGAAGCUGUAAAAGACAUUCCUGAUGGUGCAACGGUUUUGGUUGGUGGUUUUGGGCUAUGUGGAAUUCCAGAGAAUCUUAUAGAUGCUUUACUGAAAACUGGAGUAAAAGGACUAACUGCAGUCAGCGACAACGCAGGGGUUGACAAUUUUGGUUUGGGGCUUUUGCUUCGGUCCAAGCAGAUAAAACGCAUGAUCUCUUCAUAUGUGGGAGAAAAUGCAGAAUUUGAACGACAGUACUUAUCUGGUGAAUUAGAAGUGGAGCUGACACCACAGGGCACGCUUGCAGAGAGGAUCCCUGCAGGCAGGGCUGGAGUUCCUGCAUUUUACACCCCCACAGUGUAUGGGACCCUGGUACAAGAAGAUGGUGAUGUAACAUGGCUAGUACUUGAAAACUUUGAAGAGCCGUUAAGUGAUGCUGUUUGCAGCCCUUCAGUCCUGUUCGACACCUCCAGAGGAAAUGUUUUUGGGAAAGCUAUUAUAUGCUGUGCCAAAAGUAUGACCGUGGUGAUAUUUGGAUUGCAGGGGCCUAUGGAGUGGGAACUUGUACUCAUCAAAGGCAAAACAAUUUAA